rnacentral:tRNA from 1 species
GGGUCUAUAGCUUAAAGGUUAGAGCGUACGCUUGAUAAGCGUAAAGUUGGUUGUUCGAAUCAAUCUAGACUCA